rnacentral:lncRNA from 1 species
CGGCCGGUGCCGUCCAUCCGGAAAGGCAAGGGGGUCUGCGUCCGUGCGGCCGCGUCCCUGGGCCGCCAUCAGGAGGCCGGGCCCACCUGCGAGGUUCCCCAAGCGCCCACGGCCCGCCUGCAGGCUCCCGAAGGCCCACCCGGGGCCCCGGGGCCCCGGCUCCCCCUCCCCCCCGCCGCGCCGCAGCCGGACCACAGCGCCCUGCAAGCCCGGGUGGCGGCGGCCUCCAGGGAGGGAGCGGUGGGCUUCCCGGCGGGGCCGAGCCCCAGGCGCGGGGAGGAGCCGAGGCCCCCCCGGGGGCGGGAAAGGGAAACUUCUGAGGGGCUACUCACUGGGCUCUCGGAGAAGCGGCAGCCCCGCGCGCGGCGGGUGCUCUGCAAGCGGCGGCCGGUGCCCGCCCUCUGGGUGCCGGACACGCGGCGCCAGCCUCCGGGCGGCGGGCGGGCGGGCGGUGCCUGCGUCCGCGAAGGGAACGCGAGCCGAGACCCGCGUCUAGGCCGGCGCCGGGCUCUGCGUCCUCCCUCGGCCCCGCUCCCCGGGGGCGGGGGGGCCCGGCGGCGCUCGGUCGCCAGCUCCCGGCUGCCCCGCGGCUUUCCGCGACAUCGGCCCCGCGGCCCGUCGUCCUUGCGGGCGGUCCUUCCGAGCCCGCGGCGGAGAAAGGACCCGGCUUUCCGUGCACUCGGACUUGGGGGGCGAGAGGGGUUCCUGCGGAACCCAGGCCGUGAACCUGUUGCCCGACCGGGUUACUUACACUGGCACACACCACCCUUCUGGUUGCCAGGACGACCCCAGCCCUGGGGACGAGUUUUGCCGGUGCACCCAAAAUGUCUCCUCCGGUCCCCCAGGUUUGGGCUGUGGUGCCGCCGCGGGUUCUGUGAGCCCAGGCGUCCGGGAGCUCCCGGAUCCCAGACCGGGCGGCCCCCUCCUGCGCUCGCCGUGGUUCCAGGGUCUCGCCUCGGGACGGGAGCAGCAGAGCCUUCCUUCCAGGCGCCCCCGCCCCCCGACUCCCGUCCCCCCGCCCCUCCGCCCCCCCGCCCGGCCAAGCCGCUGGCUUUCUGCGUAGCCGGCGCCGUGACUCACCUCCUUCCUGGCUGCAGAGACCUGGUUGGCCUCAGCCCUUAG